CACAGCAUAGUGGUUUGAGCGCUGGACUAUGACUCUGGAAACCAGGGUUCGAUUCCCUGCUUGG